rnacentral:rRNA from 1 species
AGUGAACGCUGGCGGUAGGCCUAACACAUGCAAGUCGAACGGCAGCACAGUAAGAGCUUGCUCUUACGGGUGGCGAGUGGCGGACGGGUGAGGAAUACAUCGGAAUCUACUUUUUCGUGGGGGAUAACGUAGGGAAACUUACGCUAAUACCGCAUACGACCUACGGGUGAAAGCAGGGGAUCUUCGGACCUUGCGCGAUUGAAUGAGCCGAUGUCGGAUUAGCUAGUUGGCGGGGUAAAGGCCCACCAAGGCGACGAUCCGUAGCUGGUCUGAGAGGAUGAUCAGCCACACUGGAACUGAGACACGGUCCAGACUCCUACGGGAGGCAGCAGUGGGGAAUAUUGGACAAUGGGCGCAAGCCUGAUCCAGCCAUACCGCGUGGGUGAAGACGGCCUUCGGGUUGUAAAGCCCUUUUGUUGGUAGAGAAAAGCAGCAGGUUAAUACCCCGCUGUUCUGACGGUACCCAAAGAAUAAGCACCGGCUAACUUCGUG